GACAGCAUGGUAUAGUGGUUUGAAUGCUAGAUUAGGAAUCUGGGAGACCGUGGUUUGAAUCCUUGCUUGGCCA